GACGAACGCUGGCGGCGUGCUUAACACAUGCAAGUCGAACGAAGAGCGACGGAAGCUUGCUUCUAUCAAUCUUAGUGGCGAACGGGUGAGGAACGCGUAAUCAACCUGCCCUUCAGAGGGGGACAACAGUUGGAAACGACUGCUAAUACCGCAUACGAUCUAAUCUCGGCAUCGAGGAUGGAUGAAAGGUGGCCUCUACAUGUAAGCUAUCACUGAAGGAGGGGAUUGCGUCUGAUUAGCUAGUUGGAGGGGUAACGGCCCACCAAGGCGAUGAUCAGUAGCCGGUCUGAGAGGAUGAACGGCCACAUUGGGACUGAGACACGGCCCAGACUCCUACGGGAGGCAGCAGUGGGGAAUCUUCCGCAAUGGACGAAAGUCUGACGGAGCAACGCCGCGUGAGUGAUGACGGCCUUCGGGUUGUAAAGCUCUGUUAAUCGGGACGAAAGGCCUUCUUGCGAAUAGUGAGAAGGAUUGACGGUACCGGAAUAGAAAGCCACGGCUAACUACGUG
rnacentral:rRNA from 1 species